rnacentral:tRNA from 1 species
GUAAUUUUAGUUUAAUUAAAAUGAUGAUUUGUCUAGUCAUUGAUAGUUUGGUGUGACUAAAUUACU